GAAAUUUGGAUUAAUACCUCAUAGUAUUUCGGAUCGCAUGAUUUGAUUNUUAAAAGGUUCCAACGGGUAAAAGAUGAGUAUGCGUCCCAUUAGCUAGAUGGUAAGGUAACGGCUUACCAUGGCAAUGAUGGGUAGGGGGUCCUGAGAGGGAGAUCCCCCCACACCGGUACUGAGACACGGACCAGACUCCUACGGGAGGCAGCAGUGAGGAAUAUUGGACAAUGGGCGCAAGCCUGAUCCAGCCAUGCCGCGUGCAGGAUGACGGUCCUAUGGAUUGUAAACUGCUUUUGUACAGGAAGAAACACUACUUCGUGAAGUAGCUUGACGGUACUGUAAGAAUAAGGAUCGGCUAACUCCGUG
rnacentral:rRNA from 1 species